ACUUUAAAAUUCUUCUUUAUUUUUAUAAUAUACAUCAAUAAAAUACAUUUUUGUAUAAUAAAUUGUGAUAACUUGUUAAUUAAUGCGCGAUAAAUCUAGUUAGGUAUAAUACAAUAUUGUAACAUUUAAUACAAAAUAUUAAUAAACAAACAAAAAAAAAUGAUCACAAAUAAUACCAGUAUACAUUAUACAUAUGCGAAUCAUAAAAUAUUAUUAUGAUUCUAAUAUCAUGGACUAAGGAAAAAUAGAAAGGGCAACUUUGCAAAAAACGUGAAGGAUAUCUGUCCUUUUAUUAAAAUUGGUUGUUUUUAUGUUAAAACCGGCAUCUCCGUGUCUGCUUCAUAUUCGGACAUUCUUUAUCCUUCUCUCUUUUUCCUUUAGUCUAAAUAAAAUAGUCGUACAGACGACUUUCGACGAGUUAAAAUUCAUUAAAGGUUUCAUGAUUUCCUAAAAUAUCGAAAAAAAGAGAUUUUAAAAAGUAGGUACUUAAUAUAUCAUACUAAUUGAUAUCUUAUCUACUAACAUUUUUGUGGUUUAGCUGCAUUAUAAAAAAACACAAUGCUAAGUUAAAAAAACAUUUUAAAAAAAUUGGAAGACUACAACUACCAACUCUUCAACCCCUGUUAAGACACAGAGUAACGUAAUAUUACUAUUGGUAUUGGUUAAAUAAAUAUUUGAUACUUAAGUAACUGCUGCUAUUUAAUUUCUGUCUUAUAUUUUGUAAAACUAUAUUAAAAACAU